UACAGAGGUCUCAAGCGUUGUUCGGAUUCAUUGGGCGUAAAGGGUGUGUAGGUGGCGCGCUAAGUCGGGUGUGAAAUUUCGGAGCUUAACUCCGAAACUGCAUUCGAUACUGGCGUGCUUGAGGACUGGAGAGGAGACUGGAAUUCAUGGUGUAGCAGUGAAAUGCGUAGAUAUCGGGAGGAAGACCAGUGGCGAAGGCGGAUCUCUGGACAGUUCCUGACGCUGAGGCGCGAAGGCCAGGGGAGCAAACGGG
rnacentral:rRNA from 1 species